AUGGUGGAAGUGGAAACCCCUUCGACUUGUCUUCCUGCUGCAGGAGGAGGGUUCCAAGCCCUACGGUCCCUCCAGAGUUUACGGAUUUUUGACAGCCCCAAGAUACUAUCCGCCAAGAGCUCGCUUUCUGUCAGCAUCGCCAAGACAAGGACUGAACCACUGGUUCAGUCGAGACGAGUUAUUGCCAAACAGCAGACUGUAGCGGAUCCGGCAACAGAAGAUAGCGCGAUGGAAUUCAAUCAAGGAGAUGGGCCGGCCCAGCGGCCCAAGCAAGCGACCAACCCACCGCGUUGGCUCGACGACUACAGCCUGGCCCGUUAA
rnacentral:rRNA from 1 species